AAUCACACUGAACAAGCAAGAAUUAGAUGCAAGACGAGAAUCGAUUAUACUGAUCUAUCGAACGUUGGGUGGCAAACUUCGGUUCCUUCUUGAAUAGAUAUACAUAACCUGUCAAACAUCAGACAACUGUUUUAGAUAGGCUGAUGUUCAUCGUAUCAGAUAUACAUCGACUACAUCGAAAAUAAGAAUAUUAAAAGUUCUAGAAUUUCACGAAGAUUCAUGGCUGUUGCAGACAACUGUGUCUAAAUCGUAGGAUACGGCAGCUGAAAUUUUAUGCGAUCGCGUGAUCACACCUUCUCCAUGAGUUUUCACGAGUCUUGACUCGAAUGCAACGGAAUGGUACUGGGCCAACGUGAACGUAUUGUAGCCAAGUAUACGUUAUGGAGGACCACGGGCAGUAUAACACAUAAAACGGGCGCAUAAACGAGAUGCUAUCGGAGUUGGAGGAGGUUCCGCGUAAUCUAUCCAAUUAUCGUUCGAUCAAAGCUGUAUCCGUGAUUGUUGGGACCCCCAGCCACCGAGAGAAACUUGACUGCGAUGAAGAGCAUAAGGGAUAUCUGUACAGAAGGUUUCUAUCCAGUGCUCUAUUACAAAUCGAAUAAUAUCGAGAAAAGCAAAGCAAGCAUUUUAGACAGAAAAGUAAGUUUUGUUAUUGAUUAAUUACCUUUGCUUUUUACAUUUUUUUGCAUUAUACCAUACAACAUGAUAUUAAUAUAUAUUAUUUUGCAGUAAAAAUUACAAUAAAACAUUGUAAUAACACUACUAAUAAUAAU